AACGAAAUUUCUGGGUCAUAUGGUAAUUGCUUCACUUUUUGGAAGAACUGCGAAAUCAUUUUCCAAAAUGGCUGUGCCAUCUUACAUUCCCACCUGGGGU
rnacentral:pre_miRNA from 1 species